rnacentral:rRNA from 1 species
AUUGAACGCUGGCGGCAGGCUUAACACAUGCAAGUCGAACGAGUGGCGGAAGGGGGAGUACUGUCCGGGAAACUGCCCGAUGGCGGGGGAGAACUACUGGAAACGGUAGCUAAUACCGCAUCCCAUCGGAUGUGCCCAGAUGGGGUUAGCUAGUAGGGGGGGUAACGGCUCACCUAGGCGACGAACCCUAGCUGGUCUGAGAGGAUGACCAGCCACACGGGAACGGGGACACGGUCCAGACUCCUACGGGAGGCAGCAGUGGGGAAUAUUGCACAAUGGGCGCAAGCCUGAUGCAGCCAUGCCGCGUGUAUGAAGAAGGCCUUCGGGUUGUAAAGUACGUUCAGCGAGGAGGCGUUACUCGCAGAAGAAGCACCGGCUAACUCCGUGCCAGCAGCCGCGGUAAUUC